AUUGAACGCUGGCGGCAUGCCUUACACAUGCAAGUCGAACGGUAACAGGUCUUCGGAUGCUGACGAGUGGCGAACGGGUGGGUAAUACAUCGGAACGUGCCUAGUAGUGUGGGAUAACUACUCGAAAGAGUGGCUAAUACCGCAUGAGAUCUACGGAUGAAAGCAGGGGAUCGCAAGACCUUGUGCUACUAGAGCGGCCGAUGGCAGAUUAGGUAGUUGGUGGGAUAAAAGCUUACCAAGCCGACGAUCUGUAGCUGGUCUGAGAGGACGAUCAGCCACACUGGGACUGAGACACGGCCCAGACUCCUACGGGAGGCAGCAGUGGGGAAUUUUGGACAAUGGGCGCAAGCCUGAUCCAGCAAUGCCGCGUGCAGGAUGAAGGCCUUCGGGUUGUAAACUGCUUUUGUACGGAACGAAAAGCCCUGGGUUAAUACCCUGGGGUCAUGACGGUACCGUAAGAAUAAGCACCGGCUAACUACGUGCCAGCCGCCGCCGUAA
rnacentral:rRNA from 1 species